rnacentral:ncRNA from 1 species
CAAAAAGCUAUGAAAAGAAGGAGUAGGUAUUUUUGCCCGAGCAUAGAGAGAAGCGGACGGUGGAAGCGCUUUGUCGGGGAAAUACGCGAAGUAGUCUUGGAGCUGCAGACCGAAAAAACAACAUUAGUUGUUUGAGUAGACUCUGACGGAAAUUCCCACCGUUAAAAGGGAAACGGCAUCGAUAUAAAAAUCCGUGCUGGUUGAGGUAUAGUUGUAACACUUCUAUACGAAAUUAGGUGGUAACACGAGCCAUUCGUCCUAUGG